rnacentral:rRNA from 1 species
UACAGAGGGUGCGAGCGUUAAUCGGAAUUACUGGGCGUAAAGCGCACGUAGUCGGCUUUGCAAGUCGGUUGUGAAAUCCCCGGGCUCAACCUGGGAACUGCAUCCGAGACUGCAUUGCUAGAGUAUGGGAGAGGAAAGCGGAAUUUCUGGUGUAGCAGUGAAAUGCGUAGAUAUCAGAAGGAACAUCAGUUGGCGAAGGCGGCU